UACGGAGGGUGCAAGCGUUAUCCGGAUUCACUGGGUUUAAAGGUGCGUAGGUGGCAGGUAAGUCCGUGGUGAAAUCCCUGAGCUUAACUCGGGAACUGCCAUGGAUACUAUUGUCUUGAAUAUUGUGGAGGUAAGCGGAAUAUGUCAUGUAGCGGUGAAAUGCUUAGAUAUGACAUAGAACACCAAUUGCGAAGGCAGCUUACUACACAGUUAUUGACACUGAGGCACGAAAGCGUGGGGAUCAAACAGG
rnacentral:rRNA from 1 species